AGAGUUUGAUCCUGGCUCAGGACGAACGCUGGCGGCGUGCUUAACACAUGCAAGUCGAACGGUGAAGCAGAGCUUGCUCUGCGGAUCAGUGGCGAACGGGUGAGUAACACGUGAGUAACCUGCCCCUCACUCUGGGAUAAGCGCUGGAAACGGCGUCUAAUACCGGAUACGACCUUCGGAGGCAUCUUCAGGAGGUGGAAAGAAUUUCGGUGGGGGAUGGACUCGCGGCCUAUCAGGUAGUUGGUGAGGUAACGGCUCACCAAGCCGACGACGGGUAGCCGGCCUGAGAGGGUGACCGGCCACACUGGGACUGAGACACGGCCCAGACUCCUACGGGAGGCAGCAGUGGGGAAUAUUGCACAAUGGGCGCAAGCCUGAUGCAGCAACGCCGCGUGAGGGACGACGGCCUUCGGGUUGUAAACCUCUUUUAGUAGGAAAGAAGGGAGCUUGCUCCUGACGGUACCUGCAGAAAAAGCACCGGCUAACUACGUGCCAGCAGCCGCGGUAAUACGUAGGGUGCAAGCGUUGUCCGGAAUUAUUGGGCGUAAAGAGCUCGUAGGCGGUUUGUCGCGUCUGCUGUGAAAUCCGGAGGCUCAACCUCCGGCCUGCAGUGGGUACGGGCAGACUAGAGUGCGGUAGGGGAGAUUGGAACUCCUGGUGUAGCGGUGGAAUGCGCAGAUAUCAGGAAGAACACCGAUGGCGAAGGCAGAUCUCUGGGCCGUAACUGACGCUGAGGAGCGAAAGCAUGGGGAGCGAACAGGAUUAGAUACCCUAGUAGUCC
rnacentral:rRNA from 1 species